GACAGAGGCCUCGAGCGUUUAGGCGGAAUCACUGGGCUUAAAGCGUGUGUAGGCGGAUGCCUAAGUACCUUGUGAAAUCCCACGGCUCACCCGUGGAACCGCUGGGUAUACUGGGCAUCUUGGGCCAUUCAGGGGCAACUGGAACAAGCGGUGGAGCGGUGAAAUGCGUAGAUAUCGGAAGGAACAUCAGUGGCGAAAGCGGCUUCCUGGACCAGAUACCGACGGUCAAGGCACGAAAGCGUGGGGAGCAAACAGG
rnacentral:rRNA from 1 species